GGGACUGUGUUGCAGUGGUAGCAUUCAAGACUUCGAGGUCUUAAAAACUGGAGUUUCAUCUUGCGGUCACGGGUUCGAAUCCUGUCGGUCCUU
rfam:Cryptococcus amylolentus CBS 6039 supercont1.5, whole genome shotgun sequence.